CUUGAGUUGCAGCAGCAGCAGCAUAACUAUGUGGAGGCAAUCUCCAGACACAAGAGGAGGAUAAAAUACUGAUGAGUGAGACAAAAGGCAAUGCAGAGCAUCUCCUGAAUGGGUAAGGAACUACUACAGACUGGCAGACAGAUGGAACAGUGCCCCCAGCUGGAGGUGCCAAGGGUGACCACAUCAGGCCCAGACACAAGCUUCUACCAAGGGAGCAAGGGUGAUCAGAAUACUGAGUGAUCUCGGGGCACAGAGAAAAUACUUUCUACAUUCUGAGAGAAGAAGAAUAUUUUUACUCAAACUUUCUUUAGCUUGCCUUUAUUCAUACAAUUUUGGGAAUCAAUUAAACCUUUCUGGUGAUAAAAUAUAAUCAUAUAUCUGUGCUGCAUUUCCUGCUGGGUUUAAUCAACUACUGUGAAAUGUUUAAUGGAAACAAACACUGUAUGCUACGGUCCAUGGUUCAUGUUUGGAUAUGUAAAUGAGGUUUGUGUAUGAUUGCCUUGCCACAAUGUUAUUCCACCUCCUUCCGCUGGAGGGGUGCCCUCCACAUGCUUGGUCUGGUGGAAAGCGUCUCCAUAGAAACCAAGACCACGGUGGCACAUGGGCUUAGGGGGGUGACUGGGCAAAUGUUUUUUCUUUUGGAGAACAAUGACGCUAGGGUGCACUGGCGCUGGGCUCCAAUAGAGAGCAUCAAGCAGGGAUAUUGAGAGUUGAACAACAGGCACUUACUUUUACCUCAUUUAAAGAGCAUUUACACACCCAGUGAUAAAGAUAAAUAAAUGUAUUCAUGUAUUCAAUGCGUAACAAGUGGAUUUACGUGUUUGUGUGUGUGCCAUGCCACUGUGCACGUGGUGGUGUAGUACCUCGACAUUUAACUGAAAAAAUGUGACAAUUGUUUAAGACAUUUUAGCACAAACUCAAAACAACUUAUCUAAAUGUGUUUUUAUUUUCAAAAUGGUACCAAAUCUGGAUGAUGAACGUAGAUAAUUAUUGAAUAAUGAACUUAAUUUAAGUAUACGUUUUUGCAAAUCUUGGGUCAUUUAUGGAGUAGUUACGCAUAUGUAAACUGCCAAGAGAAAAAAUAAAGUAAGACGCGUAUCUGUCUGCCUCUGAUAUUCAGUAAAUGUUGAUGCUAAGAUGUCAGGCCGAUCUUUCACCCUUCAUUUCCGCUUUUCUUCUCUCUGUCUUCUUUUAUUUUUCCCCUCCUACUGCUCUCAUUUUCUCACUGUCUCAAUACUUAAUAUCCUGACUACUAUCUACCUCCCAUCCAGGAUUAUGAUAAAGCACGCAGCAAAGAGAACUCAGAAGACCCAUCAGGGAAAUCUGACUUUCCCAUUCUAAUCUAUGCAGAGUGAAGGGCUUUUGGUUCUGCACUGAUUUUGAACAUCACUCCCAGGCCUAGUGAAGAUGAUCCAUCCAGGGUGUACCUUCCUCUUGCCCAGUAUAAGCUGGGAUAUGCCAGUCCCUGUGGAUUCUGACCAGGGUGUGUGAUUUUAAAAAAAUGGACGGAUGGAUGCUUCAAGCAGCCUUUUUCAUGCAUGUAUUAGUUACCAUAGGACACACCAGGUUUCACUUCCAUACCCAUUCAUCUAAUCUUUGACAAUUGCCAUAUUCAAGGCUUGGUUAUCUUUUUAAUUUUCAUUUUAAUAAUUUCCACCAUUUGCUACCUCUAUUGCUUGCAGGUAAGGGAAAGGCAAGAACACACAGUGCUACUUCAGUUAGUGAAUCGACACAUUAACUCUUCAUUUCCUGCAGACACUCAGUAAUUUCAUGUUUUUUAUUCCUUUUUCAUAUCAAAGGAAUUAUUGAUCACUGUACGGAUUACACCCUGGAAAGAGUAAUCUGCAGUGGUGAUGUUUUUUUUUACUUACUGAAAAUUUGAGAACACUUCAAUGCCUCCAUUGCUUGCUUUUGUGGAAAUUAUUGUGAGUAAAUUACAAUGUCUUAUCAUCUUGACCCUUUUUUUCAAAAUACAAAGUUCUCAGAAUACACAGAAGCUGACAAAUAAACAUUUGUACCAAUUCUUAGUUAUAUAUUUUUAAUUUCAACUCGAGGGAUGACAGUUGUUUCAAAGAAGAUUUAGUGAUGAAGGUAACUUGACCAAAAUCUGAAAUUAGAAUAUCGUAAAUCAUUGUAAGGAUAUUCAGCUUCAGAAAUGGCUUCCUGUGAGGAAAGUGAAUCCUGUUUCAGGUCUGUACUAUUCUGGACAUAGAAUUAAUGAAACCUCCAUAGUUUUAAAGAAAACAACUCCUGGAGCACUGGAGG